rnacentral:rRNA from 1 species
AAACUUUGCAAUGUGCGAAAGCACGACAAGGUUAAUCCGAGUGGUUUGUGCUAAACGAACCUUUUGUUAGUCCUAGAAACACUAACGAAUAAGGGGUGGGCAAGUUCUGGUGUCAGCCGCCGCGGUAAAACCAGCACCUCAAGUGGUCAGGAUGAUUAUUGGGCCUAAAGCAUCCGUAGCCGGCUCAGUAAGUUUUCGGUUAAAUCUGUACGCUCAACGUACAGGCUGCCGGGAAUACUGCAGAGCUGGGGAGUGGGAGAGGUAGACGGUACUCGGGAGGAAGUGGUAAAAUGCUUUGAUCUUUCGAUGACCACCUGUGGCGAAGGCGGUCUACCAGAACACGUCCGACGGUGAGGGAUGAAAGCUGGGGGAGCAAACCGGAUUAGAUACCCGGGUAGUCCCAGCUGUAAACUAUGCAAACUCAGUGAUGCAUUGACUUGUGGUCAAUGCAGUGUUGCAGGGAAGCCGUUAAGUUUGCCGCCUGGGAAGUACGUACGCAAGUAUGAAACUUAA